AAAUUGAAGAGUUUGAUCAUGGCUCAGAUUGAACGCUGGCGGCAGGCCUAACACAUGCAAGUCGAACGGUAACAGGAAACAGCUUGCUGUUUCGCUGACGAGUGGCGGACGGGUGAGUAAUGUCUGGGAAACUGCUCGAUGGAGGGGGAUAACUACUGGAAACGGUAGCUAAUACCGCAUAACGUCGCAAGACCAAAGAGGGGGACCUUCGGGCCUCUUGC
rnacentral:rRNA from 1 species